rnacentral:rRNA from 1 species
UCGUAGUUGAAUACUGACAUAGUCGACCGGUCUCACGCAUUGUCGUGAGCACUUGUGUUGUAUUAGGUCAUUCUUGGAUUUUAGCCAGUCUGGCAUUAAGUUGUCGGGUUGGUGAAAACCAUCGUUUACUGUGAAAAAAUUAGAGUGUUCAAAGCAGACUUAUGUCGUUGAAUAGAUUAGCAUGGAAUAAUAAUAUAGGACUUUUGUACUAUUUUGUUGGUUAGGUGUAAAAGUAAUGAUCAAUAGGGACAGUUGGGCGUAUUCGUAUUUCGUUGCUAGAGGUGAAAUUCUUGGAUUUCCGAAAGACGAACUACUGCGAAAGCAUUUACGAAGGAUGUUUUCAUUAAUCAAGAACGAAAGUUAGGGGAUCGAAGAUGAUUAGAUACCAUCGUAGUCUUAACCAUAAACUAUGCCGACUCGGGAUUGGGCGUUGUUUUUUGACUCGUCCAGCACCGUAUGGGAAACCAUUAGUCUUUGGGUUCCGGGGGGAGUAUGGUCGCAAGACUGAAACUUAAAGAAAUUGACGGAAGGGCACCACCAGGAGUGGAGCCUGCGGCUUAAUUUGACUCAACACGGGGAAAACUUACCAGGUCCAGACAUAAUGAGGAUUGACAGAUUGAGAGCUCUUUCUUGAUUUUA